rnacentral:rRNA from 1 species
AACGCACGCUAGGGUUACCGCGGCUGCUGGCACGGAGUUAGCCGGUGCUUCUUCUGCGAGUAACGUCACAGAUGUAAGGUAUUAACUUACACCCUUUCCUCCUCGCUGAAAGUGCUUUACAACCCGAAGGCCUUCUUCACACACGCGGCAUGGCUGCAUCAGGGUUUCCCCCAUUGUGCAAUAUUCCCCACUGCUGCCUCCCGUAGGAGUCUGGGCCGUGUCUCAGUCCCAGUGUGGCUGAUCAUCCUCUCAGACCAGCUAGGGAUCGUCGCCUAGGUGAGCCUUUACCUCACCUACUAGCUAAUCCCACCUGGGCUUAUCCAUCAGCGCAAGGCCCGAAGGUCCCCUGCUUUCCCCCGUAGGGCGUAUGCGGUAUUAGCAGUCGUUUCCAACUGUUAUCCCCCACAAAUGGGCAAAUUCCCAGGCAUUACUCACCCGUCCGCCGCUCGUCAUCUUCAAAAGCAAGCUUUUGAAAUGUUACCGCUCGACUUGCAUGUGUUAGGCCUGCCGCCAGCGUUCAAU